UAUCCUGUCUGAAUAUGGGGGGACCAUCCUCCAAGGCUAAAUACUCCUGACUGACCGAUAGUGAACCAGUACCGUGAGGGAAAGGCGAAAAGAACCCCGGCGAGGGGAGUGAAAAAGAACCUGAAACCGUGUACGUACAAGCAGUGGGAGCACAGAGCAAUCUGUGUGACUGCGUACCUUUUGUAUAAUGGGUCAGCGACUUAUAUUCUGUAGCAAGGUUAACCGAAUAGGGGAGCCGAAGGGAAACCGAGUCUUAACUGGGCGUUAAGUUGCAGGGUAUAGACCCGAAACCCGGUGAUCUAGCCAUGGGCAGGUUGAAGGUUGGGUAACACUAACUGGAGGACCGAACCGACUAAUGUUGAAAAAUUAGCGGAUGACUUGUGGCUGGGGGUGAAAGGCCAAUCAAACCGGGAGAUAGCUGGUUCUCCCCGAAAGCUAUUUAGGUAGCGCCUCGUGAAUUCAUCUCCGGGGGUAGAGCACUGUUUCGGCAAGGGGGUCAUCCCGACUUACCAACCCGAUGCAAACUGCGAAUACCGGAGAAUGUUAUCACGGGAGACACACGGCGGGUGCUAACGUCCGUCGUGAAGAGGGAAACAACCCAGACCGCCAGCUAAGGUCCCAAAGUCAUGGUUAAGUGGGAAACGAUGUGGGAAGGCCCAGACAGCCAGGAUGUUGGCUUAGAAGCAGCCAUCAUUUAAAGAAAGCGUAAUAGCUCACUGGUCGAGUCGGCCUGCGCGGAAGAUGUAACGGGGCUAAACCAUGCACCGAAGCUGCGGCAGCGACGCUGAUGCGUUGUUGGGUAGGGGAGCGUUCUGUAAGCCUGUGAAGGUGUGCUGUGAGGCAUGCUGGAGGUAUCAGAAGUGCGAAUGCUGACAUAAGUAACGAUAAAGCGGGUGAAAAGCCCGCUCGCCGGAAGACCAAGGGUUCCUGUCCAACGUUAAUCGGGGCAGGGUGAGUCGACCCCUAAGGCGAGGCCGAAAGGCGUAGUCGAUGGGAAACAGGUUAAUAUUCCUGUACUUGGUGUUACUGCGAAGGGGGGACGGAGAAGGCUAUGUUGGCCGGGCGACGGUUGUCCCGGUUUAAGCGUGUAGGCUGGUUUUCCAGGCAAAUCCGGAAAAUCAAGGCUGAGGCGUGAUGACGAGGCACUACGGUGCUGAAGCAACAAAUGCCCUGCUUCCAGGAAAAGCCUCUAAGCAUCAGGUAACAUCAAAUCGUACCCCAAACCGACACAGGUGGUCAGGUAGAGAAUACCAAGGCGCUUGAGAGAACUCGGGUGAAGGAACUAGGCAAAAUGGUGCCGUAACUUCGGGAGAAGGCACGCUGAUAUGUAGGUGAAGUCCCUCGCGGAUGGAGCUGAAAUCAGUCGAAGAUACCAGCUGGCUGCAACUGUUUAUUAAAAACACAGCACUGUGCAAACACGAAAGUGGACGUAUACGGUGUGACGCCUGCCCGGUGCCGGAAGGUUAAUUGAUGGGGUCAGCGCAAGCGAAGCUCUUGAUCGAAGCCCCGGUAAACGGCGGCCGUAACUAUAACGGUCCUAAGGUAGCGAAAUUCCUUGUCGGGUAAGUUCCGACCUGCACGAAUGGCGUAAUGAUGGCCAGGCUGUCUCCACCCGAGACUCAGUGAAAUUGAACUCGCUGUGAAGAUGCAGUGUACCCGCGGCAAGACGGAAAGACCCCGUGAACCUUUACUAUAGCUUGACACUGAACAUUGAGCCUUGAUGUGUAGGAUAGGUGGGAGGCUUUGAAGUGUGGACGCCAGUCUGCAUGGAGCCGGCCUUGAAAUACCACCCUUUAAUGUUUGAUGUUCUAACGUUGACCCGUUAUCCGGGUUGCGGACAGUGUCUGGUGGGUAGUUUGACUGGGGCGGUCUCCUCCUAAAGAGUAACGGAGGAGCACGAAGGUUGGCUAAUCCUGGUCGGACAUCAGGAGGUUAGUGCAAUGGCAUAAGCCAGCUUGACUGCGAGCGUGACGGCGCGAGCAGGUGCGAAAGCAGGUCAUAGUGAUCCGGUGGUUCUGAAUGGAAGGGCCAUCGCUCAACGGAUAAAAGGUACUCCGGGGAUAACAGGCUGAUACCGCCCAAGAGUUCAUAUCGACGGCGGUGUUUGGCACCUCGAUGUCGGCUCAUCACAUCCUGGGGCUGAAGUAGGUCCCAAGGGUAUGGCUGUUCGCCAUUUAAAGUGGUACGCGAGCUGGGUUUAGAACGUCGUGAGACAGUUCGGUCCCUAUCUGCCGUGGGCGCUGGAGAACUGAGGGGGGCUGCUCCUAGUACGAGAGGACCGGAGUGGACGCAUCACUGGUGUUCGGGUUGUCAUGCCAAUGGCACUGCCCGGUAGCUAAAUGCGGAAGAGAUAAGUGCUGAAAGCAUCUAAGCACGAAACUUGCCCCGAGAUGAGUUCUCCCUGACUCCUUGAGAGUCCUGAAGGAACGUUGAAGACGACGACGUUGAUAGGCCGGGUGUGUAAGCGCAGCGAUGCGUUGAGCUAACCGGUACUAAUGAACCGUGAGGCUUAACCUUACAACGCCGAAGGUGUUU
rnacentral:rRNA from 1 species